rnacentral:rRNA from 1 species
ACGCUGGCGGCAGGCCUAACACAUGCAAGUCGAGCGGAUGAAGAGAGCUUGCUCUCUGAUUCAGCGGCGGACGGGUGAGUAAUGCCUAGGAAUCUGCCUGGUAGUGGGGGACAACGUCUCGAAAGGGACGCUAAUACCGCAUACGUCCUACGGGAGAAAGCAGGGGACCUUCGGGCCUUGCGCUAUCAGAUGAGCCUAGGUCGGAUUAGCUAGUUGGUGAGGUAAUGGCUCACCAAGGCGACGAUCCGUAACUGGUCUGAGAGGAUGAUCAGUCACACUGGAACUGAGACACGGUCCAGACUCCUACGGGAGGCAGCAGUGGGGAAUAUUGGACAAUGGGCGAAAGCCUGAUCCAGCCAUGCCGCGUGUGUGAAGAAGGUCUUCGGAUUGUAAAGCACCCUUAAGUUGGGAGGAAGGGCAGUAAGCGAAUACCUUGCUGUUUUGACGUUACCGACAGAAUAAGCACCGGCUAACUCUGUGCCAGCAGCCGCGGUAAUACAGAGGGUGCAAGCGUUAAUCGGAAUUACUGGGCGUAAAGCGCGCGUAGGUGGUUUGUUAAGUUGAAUGUGAAAUCCCCGGGCUCAACCUGGGAACUGCAUCCAAAACUGGCAAGCUAGAGUAGGGCAGAGGGUGGUGGAAUUUCCUGUGUAGCGGUGAAAUGCGUAGAUAUAGGAAGGAACACCAGUGGCGAAGGCGACCACCUGGGCUCAUACUGACACUGAGGUGCGAAAGCGUGGGGAGCAAAC